GAUGAAUGCUGGCGGCGUGCUUAACACAUGCAAGUCGAGCGGCAGCGCGGAGAGUUUACUCUCUGGCGGCGAGCGGCGGACGGCUGAGUAACGCGUGGGAACAUGCCCCAAAGUGAGGAAUAACUGCCCGAAAGGGUAGCUAAUGCCGCAUAUGAUCUUCGGAUUAAAGGAUUUAUCCGCUUUGGGAGUGGCCUGCGAACGAUUAGGUAGUUGGUGAGGUAAUGGCUCACCAAGCCGACGAUCGUUAGCUGGUCUGAGAGGAUGACCAGCCAGACUGGAACUGAGACACGGUCCAGACUCCUACGGGAGGCAGCAGUGAGGAAUCUUCCACAAUGGGCGAAAGCCUGAUGGAGCAACGCCGCGUGCAGGAUGAAGGCCUUCGGGUCGUAAACUGCUUUUAUAAGUGAAGAAUAUGACGGUAACUUAUGAAUAAGCACCGGCUAACUACGUGCCAGCCGCCGCGGUA
rnacentral:rRNA from 1 species